GCUAGACAGGUGUCAUUGCCCCUUCAAUGGAUAUCAUUAGCAGAACUGGGAUACCUGUCACCUAGUCCUAAGAAAUGUUACUGUCUAAUUUAAAACCUUCUCAGCAAGAACAAAGGAUUAAUUAAGCUUUUGCCCUUUGCCUGAGUGGUCAACUAUCAGAGGCAUAACUCAACAUCUUAUGCACAGAGGAAAGAUGUCAACACAGGAUAAAAAUUUAACCCUGGGCUGGAGAUGUUGAACACCUUGGAGUGAUAAAUCCAAGGUGGCCAGAGUGCAUUGAACAUAGGAUGACCUCAUCUUGGCAGUAGUGAAGAAAAAUAGGAACAAACUAACAACUGGAUUAAGAUAAAGCACCAGGUACUUAAAAAAAAAAAAGCAUUCCAUUGAAACAUCUCCUGAGGCUGAGCCGUCCCCAGAGAACUCCAUGAGGAGGACUGACAUGAGGAUGUAAGGAACAUGCCACUCUUGGCUUUAAUGGAUCUCACCUGUUGCCAAGAGCCACCAGGGGGUGGUCUUUAUGAUAUAGGAAGAGUAUCACAGGUUCAGGAAUGAGGCACCAUCUAGAAGCUGGAAACGAUUGUCGGCUGACAACCAACAUGGAAACAAUGACCUUGGUUUCUACAACCACAAGAAACUAAAUUCUGAAAACAACCUGAAUGAGCAAGGAAAUGGACUUUAUCCUGGAAGCUACAGAAAGGAACACAGCCUUGCCAAUAUCUUGAUUUGAUCAGAGAGAACUAUGGUGGA